rnacentral:rRNA from 1 species
AUGCACCAGAGAGUUGUUCGUCGUGCUAGGAGACCUUUGAUCCGCUAUGGUCCAAUGUUUAUCCGGGAACAGGAGAGGAUCCAUAAUCUGAACUACAUCUACAACUGCAAUGACGUCGAGGCUCUAUGGAUGCUUCGAAUGAAAAGAGCGCCAUUUGCCAGGCUUGUCGAGACCUUCAGAAGCAGGGGGCUGCUACAAGAUAAUAUCAACACCAGUGUGGAAGAGCAAGUGGCCAUGUUCCUCCAUGUUGUUGGCCAUAACCAGAGGUUCAGGGUCAUUCACAACACGUUCAGGAGAUCAAUGGAGACCAUCUCUAGGUACUUCAAGCAGGUGCUUUUUGCUGUUGGGGAGCUUAGAGGAGAGAUGAUCAGGACACCAUCUGGCCAAACUCCACCCAAGAUUCGCGAAAGCCCAAGAUGGUAUCCAUACUUCAAGGAUUGCAUUGGAGCAAUAGAUGGUACUCAUGUCACUGCCAGAGUUCCUAGGUCACGUUCUGCAGCAUACAGGGGGAGGAAGCACUACACAAGCCAGAAUGUGCUUGCUGCUGUUGACUUUGAUCUGAAGUUCACAUAUGUGCUGGCUGGCUGGGAGGGGUCAGUGCAUGAUGCUAACAUUCUUAGUGACAGCAUGAGUCGACCUGAUGAGAUCAACAUCCCCGACGGCAAGUUCUACCUUGGAGAUGCUGGCUAUGCAUGUCGGCCGGGUAUUCUUCCACUCUUCAGGAAAACUAGAAUAGGUUUUAAGAUCCUGGAUCAGAAGCCAUUCCACCCAUACUCCACUCAGGUUAAACUUGUUCUUGCUUGUCACAUUCUGCAUAACUGGAUCCUCCAGUGGGGCUUUGAUGAACACGUGCCUGAGGAGGAAGAGGUCGAGCCUGACGAUGUUGUUAGCUCCGGCCAUGGUGUGGAGGCAUUUGACAAUGACGCUUGGAAGAACAAAAGGUUGGAGUGGGCAGAGGCAAUGUGGCUUAACAGAGGUCAGUGCAGGAUUUGA